UACGUAGGCAGCGAGCGUUGUUCGGAGUUACUGGGCGUAAAGGGUGCGCAGGUGGGCUGGUAAGUUCGAUGUGAAAGCCCCGGGCUUAACCCGGGAAUGGCAUUGGAUACUACUGGUCUGGAGGAUCGGAGGGGGGACUGGAAUUCUUGGUGUAGCAGUGAAAUGCGUAGAUAUCAAGAGGAACACCAGUGGCGAAGGCGAGUCCCUGGACGAUACCUGACACUGAGGCACGAAAGCCAAGGGAGCAAACAGG
rnacentral:rRNA from 1 species